rnacentral:tRNA from 1 species
GUUUUUAUAAUUUAAGUAAAAUAUUGGUUUUGUAAACCAAAUAUAGGGAYAUCCUUAAAAACA